UAUAUCAAAUAUUAUUGGAUGACGUAUUGAAUUUUAAAUAGGUGCCGAUUUGACUAGAUGCCGUUUUAACCAGGUGCGGAUUUGACUUUUUCUAUGUGUGCCGAUUUGACUUGUACCCAGUAAUCUCGGACUAUUCACUUCGUAUCUUAUCACCGUUAAUUCUAGGAGGAACCCCAUUUCUAACUCUUUAAUUAUUAAUUUCCUUUGGGUCAGUGGGCAUGAGUCCUUCCGUACACACUCUUCUGUUUAAAUUGAGAUCGUUCUU
rnacentral:lncRNA from 1 species